UUACUUUCAAAAUAUUUCAAAUUUUGGCAAUAUCCCACGUGCUGAGUUGUCACUGGCUGAUAAAUGUAACCCUCACCUCAUUGUAUUUAGACAACAGACGAUAUUCAAAGGCUUGCAGUGCCCACACAUUAGAAGAUGCUCAACUCUUACCUUUGUGGCCGGCUCAACUCCAGCACUUACCGGUCAUCAGACUUCCAUCCUGGACGCCCACAUUCAGUCACAUUCAGAAUAUUUUCCACAUAUCCGGCCUCAAGCAGACGUUAGAUAAUAGAACAUUUUUAGAAGUUGCCCUUUUUUGUUUUUUUAUCUGUUACCACCUGCAAUUACUGUGCCACUAAUUAGUGACUGGCAGGCAUGGUAUUGUUUGAGGGCGCAGCCACAGCAAUAACUAAACAUCUACGUGGACAGACAUAUGAACAUUGACGCAAUGAUUGAUAAGCACUAAUACCAGCCACAAACUUAGCCUUUCAACUCAUUUUUAUGCACAGCACAUCUGGUGCUUGAGCAAUACCUUCAUCUUUAAUGCACCAGUUUCAAUUCUUUUUGCCAUGACAAUCAAUGAAACUUAAAAUUUAAACCCCAAGGUGAGCAUUUCUCUGUAUAGGUAAAGUAAAUCAUGGCUACUAAGAGGCUGCCAAGCAUUUACCCAGCUCUGUGGUAAACAUAGAAAUGUGAAAAGAAAAUAGCACAAAGUUGAAGGCCUUGUCUUUUGUGUUACACAAUGAGGACUCCAAAACUGCAUUGAAAGUGGACACGCAAAAAACAUGCUAAUACAAGGCUAUAGGAAAUGGGAACAUGAAAACAGGAUUGAGCAGUACAUCAGUUUGCCACAUUCAGAUCUAUUAUAGCUACUGCCCUAGAAGACCCUCCCAAGGCAAUGCUCUGUUUAUUGGCUCAAUUCUCAUUAAGCCAGAAAGAAUAGCACCAAGAAGAGGAGCAGGAAGCCCGCCUCCUACUCCUUCCCUUCCAGUUCAUCAGGCUUAAAACCACAGUGCAACAGGAAAUAACAAUCAUUUAGAAGUGCAACGGAAAGAACAUACACACCUCUAUACAAAUUACAAAAUGUUAAGACGUCACAUUGUAUCUAUUUACUAACCUAAAACUGAAGUUAAUAAUUGGGCAGUGACUAAUGGUACCCCUUUGUUGUUUUCUCCAGCAUUACUGUUUAUGUCUCAAUUGUAUAAGUAAAGCUUCUUAAAUGUAAUGGUAUUGUAAAAUAAACUUUAGAAUUGAUCCAUAAUGAAGGACCUGUACAAUGUCCUGACUGAUUUAUGUUGCCAAAACUACCUUUUUGCUAAUUUUAUUGAUACUGUAUGUGUGACAUAUGAACUCUAAGCAAUUUCAUUACAUCUGCUCAGUCUCUGGCAUAGCAUUUAAUAAUAAAAAUUGGGCUUCUACUGAUUUUGUGAAAGAAAUAUCUUUCCCACCCUUGAUUCCAAACAAACUUUGAAGAAAAAGUUUUGCUAAACAAUAGGGUGACACAGUUACUCUGUGACUAGUGCUGCUGCUCCACAGCUCCAAAGUCCUCAGUUUAAAUUAUAGCUUGUUCUCUAACUGUGUAGUUUGCAUGUUCUCUCCGUGUUUGUGUUUCCCUAAGGAAUCCAGUUUUCCUCCCAUGUCCCAAAGAUGACCAUUUUUGAUUAAUUGGCGGCUCUAAACUGUCCCUGCAUUUGUGUGAGUGGGCCCUUUGAGAAACUAGCACUCCACCUUAAGUUAAUUCCUGCCUUACACCCAGGAUGCAGCACUCUGCAACUCUGAAUUAACUUAAGAAGGUUUCAGAAUAUACUGAUAGAAGUCAAGUAUUAUGUAUUUAUAAUACAAAAAGUAAAAAUGCAUGGAAAAUUAAAAAAUAAUAGUUUUCAGAAUUUUAAAUUCAGCACCAAUGGUAAUCACUACAUAAAUAUGUCAUAUGCAAAAUGAGUAUGCAAAGUUGUUUUUUUGCUUGAGUGAUCUUGUGUCCG